rnacentral:rRNA from 1 species
AGCGAACGCUGGCGGCAGGCCUAACACAUGCAAGUCGAACGGACCCUUCGGGGUUAGUGGCGGACGGGUGAGUAACACGUGGGAACGUGCCUUUAGGUUCGGAAUAGCUCCUGGAAACGGGUGGUAAUGCCGAAUGUGCCCUUCGGGGGAAAGAUUUAUCGCCUUUAGAGCGGCCCGCGUCUGAUUAGCUAGUUGGUGGUGUAACGGACCACCAAGGCGACGAUCAGUAGCUGGUCUGAGAGGAUGAUCAGCCACAUUGGGACUGAGACACGGCCCAAACUCCUACGGGAGGCAGCAGUGGGGAAUCUUGCGCAAUGGGCGAAAGCCUGACGCAGCCAUGCCGCGUGAAUGAUGAAGGUCUUAGGAUUGUAAAAUUCUUUCACCGGGGACGAUAAUGACGGUACCUGGAGAAGAAGCCCCGGCUAACUUCGUGCCAGCCGCCGCUGUAAAAC